rnacentral:miRNA from 14 species
CCCAAGCAAGCUGAUGUUAGGC